rnacentral:rRNA from 1 species
CGGUAACGAUGGAAGCUUGCUUCCAGGCGACGAGUGGCGGACGGGUGAGUAAUGCUUAGGAAUCUGCCCAGUAGCGGGGGACAACUCGGAGAAAUCCGAGCUAAUACCGCAUACGCCCUACGGGGGAAAGCAGGGGAUCUUCGGACCUUGCACUAUUGGAUGAGCCUAAGUCAGAUUAGCUUGUUGGUGGGGUAAAAGCCUACCAAGGCGACGAUCUGUAGCUGGUCUGAGAGGACGAUCAACCACACUGGGACUGAGACACGGCCCAGACUCCUACGGGAGGCAGCAGUGGGGAAUAUUGGACAAUGGGGGCAACCCUGAUCCAGCAAUGCCGCGUGUGUGAAGAAGGCCUGCGGGUUGUAAAGCACUUUCAGUAAGGAAGAAAACCUCAGGGUUAAUAACCCUGUGGCUUGACAUUACUUACAGAAGAAGCACCGGCUAACUCCGUGCCAGCAGCCGCGGUAAUACGGAGGGUGCGAGCGUUAAUCGGAAUUACUGGGCGUAAAGCGUGCGUAGGUGGCAUGGUCAGUCGGAUGUGAAAGCCCCGGGCUUAACCUGGGAAUUGCAUUCGAUACUGCCAAGCUAGAGUAUGUUAGAGGAAAGUGGAAUUCCCGGUGUAGCGGUGAAAUGCGUAG